rnacentral:rRNA from 1 species
GGACACGUGAAACCCUGUGGGAAGCAGGAGGGACCACCCUCCAAGGCUAAAUACUACCUAGUGACCGAUAGCGUAUAGUACCGUGAGGGAAAGGUGAAAAGAACCCCGGGAGGGGAGUGAAAUAGAACCUGAAACCCUGCACUUACAAGCUGUGGAAGCACAUUUCUUGUGUGACCGCGUACUUUUUGUAGAACGGGCCAACGAGUUACGUUAAGUAGCAAGGUUAAGCACUUAAGGUGUGGAGCCGUAGCGAAAGCGAGUUUUAACUGAGCGUUCAGUUACUUGACGUAGACCCGAAACCGGGCGACCUACCCAUGAGCAGGAUGAAGCGAAAGUAAAAUUUCGUGGAGGUCCGAACCCACGAGCGUUGAAAAGCUCGGGGAUGACUUGUGGGUAGCGGUGAAAUUCCAAUCGAGCCCGGAGAUAGCUGGUUCUCCCCGAAAUAGCUUUAGGGCUAGCCUCAAGGUGAGAGAUACGGAGGUAGAGCACUGAAUGUCCUAGGGGGUAUUGCACCUACCGAAGACUAUCAAACUCCGAAUGCCGUCAUCUUAUACUUGGGAGUCAGACUGUGGGUGAUAAGAUUCAUAGUCGAAAGGGCAACAGCCCAGAUCGUCAGCUAAGGUCCCUAAAUGUAAGUUAAGUGGUAAAGGAUGUGGGAUUGCACAGACAACCAGGAUGUUGGCUUAGAAGCAGCCACUCAUUCAAAGAGUGCGUAAUAGCUCACUGGUCGAGUGAUCCUGCGCCGAAGAUUUCCGGGGCUAAAACUUACUACCGAAGCUACGGCAUCAGUAAUGAUGGGUAGGGGAGCUUCCCAUACGGGUUGAAGCAUGACCGUAAGGACAUGUGGACAGUAUGGGAGUGAGAAUGUUGGCAUGAGUAGCGAGAUGUGGGUGAGAAUCCCACAGGCCGUAAACCCAAGGUUUCCAGGGGAAGGUUCGUCCGCCCUGGGUUAGUCGGGACCUAAGCUGAGGCCGAAAGGCGUAGGUGAUGGACAACAGGUUGAUAUUCCUGUACUACCGAUAACCGUUUGAGAGAAGGGAUGACACAGUAGGAUAAGCUAAGCACACUGUUGGUUAUGUGUGCCCAAGCAUUGAGGCAGUCAAAGUAGGCAAAUCCGCUUUGAUAAUGCUGGGAUGUGAUGGGGAGCGAAAUUUAGUAGCGAAGUAGCUGAUUUCACACUGUCAAGAAAAGUCUCUAUCGAGGUUAAAGGUACCCGUACCGCAAACCGACACAGGUGGGUGAGGAGAGUAUCCUAAGGCCAGCGAGAGAACUGUUGUUAAGGAACUCGGCAAAAUGACCCCGUAACUUAGGGAUAAGGGGUGCCACCAUCAGGUGGCCGCAGAGAAUAGGCCCAAGCGACUGUUUACCAAAAACAUAGGUUUCUGCUAAGUCGCAAGACGAUGUAUAGGAGCUGACGCCUGCCCGGUGCUGGAAGGUUAAGGGGAUCUGUUAGAGCAAUCGAAGCAGUGAACUUAAGCCCCAGUAAACGGCGGCCGUAACUAUAACGGUCCUAAGGUAGCGAAAUUCCUUGUCGGGUAAGUUCCGACCCGCACGAAAGGCGUAACGAUUUGGGCACUGUCUCAACAACAGACUCGGUGAAAUUGUAAUUCCGGUGAAGAUGCCGGAUACCUGCGACAGGACGGAAAGACCCCAUGGAGCUUUACUGUAGCUUGACAUUGGGUCUUGGUACUACAUGUACAGGAUAGGUGGGAGGCUUUGAAACCAGGACGCCAGUUUUGGCGGAGCCAUCCUUGGGAUACCACCCUUGUAGUACUGGGACUCUAACCAUAGGCCAUGAAUCUGGUCUUGGGACACUGUCAGGUGGGCAGUUUGACUGGGGCGGUCGCCUCCCAAAAGGUAACGGAGGCGCUCAAAGGUUCUCUCAGUACGGUCGGAAAUCGUACGUAGAGUGUAAAGGCAAAAGAGAGCUUGAUUGCAAGACAUACAGGUCGAGCAAGGAUGAAAAUCGGACUUAGUGAUCCGGUGGUUCUGCGUGGAAGGGCCAUCGCUCAACGGAUAAAAGCUACCCUGGGGAUAACAGGCUUAUCUCCCCCAAGAGUCCACAUCGACGGGGAGGUUUGGCACCUCGAUGUCGGCUCAUCACAUCCUGGGGCUGUAGUAGGUCCCAAGGGUUGGGCUGUUCGCCCAUUAAAGUGGUACGCGAGCUGGGUUCAGAACGUCGUGAGACAGUUCGGUCCCUAUCCGUCGCAGGCGUAGGAAAUUUGAGAAGACCUGUCCUUAGUACGAGAGGACCGGGAUGGACGUACCUCUGGUGUACCAGUUGUCCUGCCAAGGGCAUGGCUGGGUAGCUAUGUACGGAAUGGAUAAGCGCUGAAAGCAUCUAAGCGCGAAGCCAACUUCAAGAUAAGAUUUCCCACCGCAAGGGUAAGACCCCAGAAAGACUAUCUGGUUGAUAGGUCGAAGGUGUAAGUGCAGCAAUGUAUUUAGCUUAUCGAUACUAAUAGGUCGAGGACUUGACCAA